rnacentral:rRNA from 1 species
GGAGGACGCUCACCACUUUGUGGUUCAUGACUGGGGUGAAGUCGUAACAAGGUAGCGCUAGGGGAACCUGGCGCUGGAUCACCUCCUUA